UACAGAGGGUGCGAGCGUUGUCCGGAAUCACUGGGCGUAAAGGGCGCGUAGGCGGUCCGGUAAGCGCGUGGUGAAAGCUCGGGGCUCAACCCCGAGUCGGCCGUGCGAACUGCGGGACUGGAGCAUGUCAGAGGCAGGCGGAAUUCCGGGUGUAGCGGUGGAAUGCGUAGAGAUCCGGAAGAACACCGGUGGCGAAGGCGGCCUGCUGGGACAUUGCUGACGCUGAGGCGCGACAGCGUGGGGAGCAAACAGGAUUAGAAACCCCCGUAGUCC
rnacentral:rRNA from 1 species